UACGAAGGGGGCUAGCGUUGCUCGGAAUCACUGGGCGUAAAGGGUGCGUAGGCGGGUCUUUAAGUCCGGGGUGAAAUCCUGGAGCUCAACUCCAGAACUGCCUUUGAUACUGAAGAUCUUGAGUUCGGGAGAGGUGAGUGGAACUGCGAGUGUAGAGGUGAAAUUCGUAGAUAUUCGCAAGAACACCAGUGGCGAAGGCGGCUCACUGGCCCGGUACUGACGCUGAGGUGCGAAAGCCAGGGGAGCAAACGGG
rnacentral:rRNA from 1 species